CAGAGUAGGUUUUGGCGCGUCAAGUGUCACGCGGACGGGGAGUUGCCGCGUGGACGAAAGCAUUCGGCUUGAGCUUUUAUGUGAACAAGGCGUCAGCUUUGUUUGCAUUCAGCUUCUCAGAAUGCUGCGGUGCCAGGACCGCAUCCCGCUGU
rnacentral:ncRNA from 1 species